rnacentral:misc_RNA from 1 species
UUAACUAUUAUAUAGUACUCAGACGACACUGACAUUUAGGGUUUGGGGUCCUCUGGCGGGCGCUCACCAGCCGGAGCCGGUGGCCUGACCGAGGCCGGACGGCCCGCCAAAGCAACAGAGAAGGAAUAACAUAGGGUGGGAGAUCUACCCUUGCGGGCAAAAACUCUGUAAUGAUCCCUCCGCAGGUUCACCUACGGAGA